CAGCCGCCACGGUAAUACAGAGGGUGCAAGCGUUAAUCGGAAUUACUGGGCGUAAAGCGCGCGUAGGUGGUUUGUUAAGUUGGAUGUGAAAGCCCCGGGCUCAACCUGGGAACUGCAUCCAAAACUGGCAAGCUAGAGUACGGUAGAGGGUGGUGGAAUUUCCUGUGUAGCGGUGAAAUGCGUAGAUAUAGGAAGGAACACCAGUGGCGAAGGCGACCACCUGGACUGAUACUGACACUGAGGUGCGAAAGCGUGGGGAGCAAACAGGAUUAGAGACCCCGGUAGUCCCUGUCUCUUAUAC
rnacentral:rRNA from 1 species